rnacentral:tRNA from 1 species
CUGGCGCUGGACGACGACGGGCUGCGGGUGGAGGUCUGGGACACCUCGCCGGGACGUCCGAAGGCGUCCGAGCCGGA